UACGUAGGGUGCAAGCGUUGUCCGGAAUUAUUGGGCGUAAAGAGUUCGUAGGCGGUUUGUCGCGUCCGUUGUGAAAGCUUGGGGCUCAACCCCAAGUCUGCAGUGGGUACGGGCAGGCUAGAGUGUGGUAGGGGAGACUGGAAUUCCUGGUGUAGCGGUGGAAUGCGCAGAUAUCAGGAGGAACACCGAUGGCGAAGGCAGGUCUCUGGGCCACUACUGACGCUGAGAAGCGAAAGCAUGGGGAGCGAACAGG
rnacentral:rRNA from 1 species